GGUGGCUCAGUGGUAGAGUGCUUGCCUUGCAUGCAUGAAGCCCUGGGUUCAAUCCUCAGCACCA
rnacentral:tRNA from 1 species